UCAGACAGACAGUUUGAGCGUUACAUUACGUUACGAUUACAGAUUGUUUGUAACUGUCCAUUUCAAAACAAACAAAUUGCUGUGCUACCAAACAAACUGACGUUAACUAGUUGUACGUUUAAUUUUAGCUGCUCAUAUUAUAAUAUAUUUAUUGUCAUUGUAGUAUUUAAUACAGGAUGGAAGAAAUUAAGUUUUCUUCUUACGAAGCUCUUCGAAAGUUCAUCAGGAAUAAAGAAAAGAAAGAAUUUAUACAAUUAUGGAUAUCAAGUUCACGAACAAUUAAUGCUGCUAGAAAGAAAAACAUUAUAAGACCAAUGAAAGAGUGUUUGAAGUACUACGAAAUUGAUUUUAAAUGUAUUUAUUGCAAACGAGAAAGAAAGAGCUUAUCUACUGGAAUACGCCCAGGUCGCAGAACCGUUAGGCAAGAUUGUCCAUUUAAAAUGAAAUUCCGGAUUUCUAUAGAUGGCUGCUAUCUUGAAACAUAUGACUUCAAUGAUUCUCACAAUCACGACCAUUCAAAAGAAAUGUAUGAAUUUCUACCUCGGCAAAGAAAACUUAAACAUAUUUUACAAGCAAGAAAUAUGAAUGAAAUAAAUGUUAUUCAUGAGGAACUUGUACCUGAAAUAUUGAAGACAUCAUCUGAUUUAGAAAACAGUAGACUGGUGGAAUCCAACUAUCAACAGAUACCUAGUAUGAUAGACUCAGUAAAUGUAAUAUCACAACAAGAAAGGUAUGAAAUUGCAUUAUCAAAAACUCAAAGGCUGGCAAACCUACUAUCAGAGGCACCAUCAGAAACUUUCUUUCAGCGUCUAGUGAACUUGGAAACAUUAAUAUACAAUUGGGAGAAUAAUGAAGAAGUGAGUGUUAUUUCACUUAACUCAAAGAAUAAUUGUUCCCAAGAUUUCAUUGAAAUAGAUAAUAAUUAUGUUUUAAUUACAGUAAACGAAUCUGUUGUAUCUGAAUUACAACCUUUUUUUCAAACAAAAUUGAGUUCAGGUUCAGUAGAAAACUACAAAGAAGUGCCAACCUUGCUAGAAGACCAUAAUUAUUUUCAGUUAACCAGUAAAUAAGAAACCAAAAUAAAAUUUUUACAAGAAUCAAAAGCGGUGCAAAAUAUAUUUGAAACAGUGACUAUGAUACAAAUAUUGAAUACGUCUAUAUUCACUAAAAAGCAAAGACGAUAAAGAUAAAACCGUUUUAAAUUUCUUUAGUUAAUAAAUAAUUUUAUGUGCAGUGUUGGAUGAUAAAACAGUAUACCCAGAUGAAUUCAGACAUAAUCUCAAAUGCUGCCUGCCUUUAUACUCAUAAAAACAGAGUAUAUGUAGAAUGAAUCAAGAUUAAUUGUAUUGAGUAUGAAUAGACUUCUGUUCAAGACAGUAAUCCGACAAUUUUCUGCUAUAAUGUUAAAUGGAAGCUAACAUCAGUCAUAGUAUUUUAAUAGUCUUCAGUUCGCUGUCCAUUUUUCAUUUAAAUUCAUUUCAAAUUUUUCUGACUGCACAAAUGUGAAAGAAUAUUUUGUUCUGCAGAUCAAUGAGAUUAAAUUGACUUCAGCCAUCACGCCAAUGCCUAUGUACAUGCUUUAUCUAUGCAUUCCAAAACUGGUAGUUAUCAAGCAUGGUCCAGAGAUGAACUAUGCUGUAUCUUGAAUAAGAAAGACCAAUGAAUUGAAUGAAGACCAGUUUAAAGUUAUACUUAUCAGUUAUAGCAUUGUGGUUUUUUAAAAUCCAGACCUAAAUUAUAACUUUUAAUGGUUUAUGUGAAGGAAUAAUGUUUUGAAAUAUUAAAAUUUGGCUUUAAUGUGUA